rnacentral:rRNA from 1 species
UAAUGUAUCGGAACGUGCCCAGUCGUGGGGGAUAACUGCUCGAAAGAGCAGCUAAUACCGCAUACGACCUGAGGGUGAAAGCGGGGGAUCGCAAGGCCUCGCGCGAUUGGAGCGGCCGAUAUCAGAUUAGGUAGUUGGUGAGGUAAAGGCUCACCAAGCCGACGAUCUGUAGCUGGUCUGAGAGGACGACCAGCCACACUGGGACUGAGACACGGCCCAG